rnacentral:rRNA from 1 species
UACGAAGGGGGCUAGCGUUGUUCGGAUUUACUGGGCGUAAAGCGCACGUAGGCGGAUCGUUAAGUCAGGGGUGAAAUCCUGGAGCUCAACUCCAGAACUGCCUUUGAUACUGGCGAUCUCGAGUCCGGAAGAGGUGAGUGGAACUCCUAGUGUAGAGGUGGAAUUCGUAGAUAUUAGGAAGAACACCAGUGGCGAAGGCGGACUCACUGGUCCGGAACUGACGCUGAGGUGCGAAAGCGUUGGGGAGCAAACAGG